rnacentral:rRNA from 1 species
AAGGAAUAUUGGUCAAUGGACGCAAGUCUGAACCAGCCAUGCCGCGUGAAGGAUGAAGGUCCUCUGGAUUGUAAACUUCUUUUAUCUGGGACGAAAACGGGAUUUUUAUCUCAAUUGACGGUACCAGAGGAAUAAGCACCGGCUAACUCCGUGCCAGCAGCCGCGGUAAUACGGAGGGUGCGAGCGUUAUCCGGAUUUACUGGGUUUAAAGGGUGCGUAGGUGGGCUUAUAAGUCAGUGGUGAAAUCUCCGAGCUUAACUUGGAAACUGCCGUUGAUACUAUAGGUCUUGAAUUAUCUGGAGGUAAGCGGAAUAUGCCAUGUAGCGGUGAAAUGCUUAGAUAUGACAUAGAACACCAAUUGCGAAGGCAGCUUACUACAUAUAAAUUGACGCUGAGGCACGAAAGCGUGGGGAUCAAACA